rnacentral:rRNA from 1 species
UACGGGGGGGGCAAGCGUUGUUCGGAAUUACUGGGCGUAAAGGGCUCGUAGGUGGCCAACUAAGUCGGACGUGAAAUCCCUCGGCUUAACCGGGGAACUGCGUCCGAUACUGGUUGGCUUGAGUUUGGGAGAGGGAUGCGGAAUUCCAGGUGUAGCGGUGAAAUGCGCAGAUAUCAGGAGGAACACCAAUAGCGAAGGCAGCUCGCUGGGACGGUACUGACGCUAAGGCGCGAAAGCGUGGGGAGCGAACAGG